UUAUAAUAGACAGCAGUAGCCGCGGUAAUACAGAGGGUGCGAGUGUUAAUCGGAUUUACUGGGCGUAAAGCGUGCGUAGGCGGCUUUUUAAGUCGGAUGUGAAAUCCCUGAGCUUAACUUAGGAAUUGCAUUCGAUACUGGGAAGCUAGAGUAUGGGAGAGGAUGGUAGAAUUCCAGGUGUAGCGGUGAAAUGCGUAGAGAUCUGGAGGAAUACCGAUGGCGAAGGCAGCCAUCUGGCCUAAUACUGACGCUGAGGUACGAAAGCAUGGGGAGCAAACAGGAUUAGAUACCCCGGUAGUCCCUGUCUCUUAUAA
rnacentral:rRNA from 1 species